rnacentral:rRNA from 1 species
UACGUAGGCAGCGAGCGUUGUUCGGAGUUACUGGGCGUAAAGGGUGUGUAGGCGGUUUUCUAAGUUUGGUGUGAAAUCUCCCGGCUCAACCGGGAGGGUGCGCCGAAAACUGGGAGACUAGAGUGCGGGAUGGGAGAGUAGAAUUCCUGGUGUAGCGGUGAAAUGCGUUGAUAUCAGGAGGAACACCCAUGGCGAAGGCAGCUGACUGGGCAUUAUCUGACGCUGAGGCGCGAAAGCGUGGGGAGCGAACAGG